rnacentral:rRNA from 1 species
UACGGAGGGUGCGAGCGUUGUCCGGAAUUACUGGGCGUAAAGGGCGCGUAGGCGGACAGUUUAGUCAGAGGUGAAAGCCCAGGGCUCAACCUUGGAAUUGCCUUUGAUACUGGCUGUCUUGAGUUCGGGAGAGGUGAGUGGAAUGCCGAGUGUAGAGGUGAAAUUCGUAGAUAUUCGGCGGAACACCAGUGGCGAAGGCGACUCACUGGCCCGAUACUGACGCUGAGGCGCGAAAGCGUGGGGAGCAAACAGG